AUUGAACGCUGGCGGCAGGCCUAACACAUGCAAGUCGAGCGGAUGAGUGGAGCUUGCUCCAUGAUUCAGCGGCGGACGGGUGAGUAAUGCCUAGGAAUCUGCCUGGUAGUGGGGGACAACGUUUCGACAGGAACGCUAAUACCGCAUACGUCCUACGGGAGAAAGUGGGGGAUCUUCGGACCUCACGCUAUCAGAUGAGCCUAGGUCGGAUUAGCUAGUUGGUGAGGUAAAGGCUCACCAAGGCGACGAUCCGUAACUGGUCUGAGAGGAUGAUCAGUCACACUGGAACUGAGACACGGUCCAGACUCAUACGGGAGGCAGCAGUGGGGAAUAUUGGACAAUGGGCGAAAGCCUGAUCCAGCCAUGCCGCGUGUGUGAAGAAGGUCUUCGGAUUGUAAAGCACUUUAAGUUGGGAGGAAGGGCAGUAAGUUAAUACCUUGCUGUUUUGACGUUACCAACAGAAUAAGCACCGGCUAACUUCGUGUCAGCCGCCGCCGUAACAC
rnacentral:rRNA from 1 species